CCCCAGGGUGUGCAAUGAUCUCAUGAGCUUUUAUGUGUCCUUUUAAAGACGUAAAAUCAGAGGCUGGAAAGCGAGACAAUGUGAGAAGAAAGGCAACACAUUCCACAGUGCAAUGGUAAAUGGGCUACCUGCACAGCAGGCUGCCAUAGCUAUGAGAGAAUGAGGCUGAAUAGAGAAUGCUGUCCCCUCCUCCUCCUCCUCAGGACGGGACAUUGGUCAUUACUCCCCAUUACUCCCCCUUUGCAGUGAGUUGCAAAGAGCUGCCCCUGCACACGAGAGUUCAACAUCAUCUCUACAAGUGAUGCAGUCUCCAACUACGGCUGCCCCCUCACUGCACAAUGGAAUCUCAGGUAUGCCAAAGACUUCCAGCCUUUUCCAUUGGAUGCCCCUGUCCACUCCUUGCAGCCAGGUGACUCCGUGCUUGUUCGUACCUGGAAGGACGAGCCUCUCCAAGAAAAGUGGAAGGGACCCCACACCGUUCUGCUGGUUUCCCACACGGCGGCAAAGGUCGAGAGACACAAAAACUGGAUCCAUCACUCUCGCCUGAAGGCGGUGCCUACUCCUCCACCAGUGGAACGGUGGACCAUCCAGCCCAUCACCACGUCACCCUCUGACGAUCUUGGACUCAAAUUUUUGUUUAAAAAGACAUAAGCAUGGGAGGGGGGAGGGGGCUACAAAGGGCAUAUACACCAUGAGGUCCCUCAUAGUGGGUGUCAUUUGCCUAGUAUUCCCCAUAUCUCUCUCUUAGGAAGGGAUGGAUGGGAACCAUUAAUUUGAAUGUAAAUACCUAUGAGGCCCUUGAAAUCACCUUUGCCCGUGAAUUUAAUCUGUCCAACUGCUGUAUAUGUUCCCAGAUCCCCUACCAUGCGGCCAGCUUCCCUUGGAGAGCAACCCCCCCACAACUGGUCAGACCUCUGUGAUGGGUGGAUAAAAGCAAACGCCACUCAGUUGCAAACGCAGCCCACCUUAACGGAAAACUGUACUAAAGAGGCCAAGUUUAGCAGCAACACUGAUCCCUGGAAACCCUACUGGAAUGCGACCCAUGCCCCCAAACCCAUCCAGCUACGCUCCGUCCCCAUGGGCCUCCUUUGUUAUCACCAGGAAGCCACUGCUAACCAUAGCUGGUUUGCUGGCAAUAGUACCUGUCAGUAUUAUUUGUCCCCAUCCGCAAAUACCACUAUUCCUCUAUGUAAUAGUGCUGGCCAAGACACAGGUGAAGGGCUUCAAUAUUACAGCCGCAGUCCACAAAUUGGGCCAUAAUGGCAUGGUAGCCAAUGGACAGUCCUUUUAUGUCUGUGGUAACUCAGCCUAUAAAAGGCUACCCCACCGUUGGCACGGAAGCUGUUAUUUGGGAUACCUCACCCCUCCCCUUCGGGUCAUGGCCCACCUCCUGUCGGGCCGUCUCUGGCAUCAGCGGUCCCUGUACGCCACCCCCGUGCCCAUUAGUGAGGAAGAUAGAUUCUUCUCCCAGCAUACGGGGUGGGUAGGUUGGCCAAGCUCUAUUGCCAGCUCUCUGUAUUCCUCACCAAAUUCGCCAGUGAUACCUCGGCCAUAGAGAGGAGCCUCAACACAGAACUUUAUCAACUCCGGCUGCUGUCCCUGCAAAACCGCCAGACCCUAGAUUACCUUCUGGCUGCACAGGGUGGGGUGUGUGCUCCUGAUUGGGGAUGAAUGCUGUCCGUAUGUCCCAGAGGAUUCACAGGAUAUUAACAAGCACAUCCUGUCAGCUGAACAGGCUCUUAACCAGUGGAAAGCCCAGGAAAGAGAGCCCACUAUCUUUGACUCACUCUGGGGAUGGUUGCCUGACCUGGGGGGAGGCAUUGUUCAUCUCCUGUUCACAGGUGCCGUGGUGUGUAUUAUCAUUCUCCUCUUACUUGCCUGUUGUAAAGCACUCAUAUAUAAAAUGGGUGCCUCCCGCUCCACAGAAACCCCAUUAUAUCCUCUUGUUGAGGAUUCUAACUCCUCAGCACUUAGUCACUUAUUGUCCUUGGAAUAUGAGAAAACUCAGUUACAAGCUUGUUGAGUGUUCUCAAAGGAGGGAGUUGUUGGUGACACUGGGCACUACUCUAGGUAACUCGGGAGGGUGGAAGACCACGAGUGUUGAUGAAGCCCUCUUGCUCUAGGCCCAGGCAAACUGAAGCCCUUCCGCUCCUUGAACUUUCUGUGACCCUGCAACGACUAUGAGGAAGCCAGCACACAAACAGACAGGCUUGCACACGACUCGCUAGCCAAGGCCAGCUUCGGCCUGGGAAAUAUAUAGAUAAGGCAGAAAUGUUUAGCAAAAACUAGUAAUAAAUAGAACCAAAUAAGGCAAGGCUCGGGCAAUGGUAAUGAGGAAAAACAUAACUGGCUGCUUUAGCUGAUUGGCUACGGUAUUGGACGGGGCAACAGGUAAUUGGUUGUAUAAGCUUGUGUAGUGAAGUAGGCAAAGGUAUAAAUUGUAUACUGUAAUCUGCAUUUGGGACUGCAGGAUUUGAGACAGUUCAGUCUCAUAGAAUCAUAGAAUCAUAGAAUAUAAGGGUUGGAAGGGACCCCAGAAGGUCAUCUAGUCCAACCCCCUGCUCGAAGCAGGACCAAUUCCCAGUUCCCAGUUAAAUCAUCAAACUGGGAUUAGGUCUCCUUGCGCCCUAUCUGAAGCUUCAAAUAAAACUCUCUGCUUCUCCACCCUGUUGUGGUCAUUGGCGCGACGCAUACUGGGCAACGAACCCAACUGUUGCUUGCCUCGGGCACUCUGUGCCGGCAACAACGGCAUAUCAAUAAGCAAACUGCUACAAUACAUAAUUAUGACUACUUUUGUACUUCCCCACUGCCUUUGAGAUUCCUGGCCUAAUUCUUUUCUCACUUAGAGCCUGAUUCAAAUUUUGUUCAAGUUAACAGAUUGACUGAAGUAGGCUUUGAAUCAGUUCUUCAGGGUUUGUCAAGCGACUGCGCUAACAUGUGUUAGUUAACCUCCACCUUUUCCCUAAUGCAGACACAGGCUAACACCUUUUACUUUGCUUUAGCUGAACUUUGACCUGCUAAAUCAAGGUAUUAUGUGUUAAUUUGCAUCUAUACUAAGGAAAAAUUCAGGGUUAGGUCAGGAUUAGUUAAAGAGUGUUAGCUCCCCCCACCUUAACUUCAACCAUUGUUCUCAAACUAGACAAACUCUAUGACAGGCAGAGUGGUCCACUGAAUAGGCCCUGAACUAGGGCUCUGAAAACCUGCAUUCUGCUUCUGGCUUUGCCACUGACAUACCAUGUGACUUUGGGCAAGUCACUUUACUUCUCUGGGCCUCCUUUCCCCCUCCAACCUUUUAUCUGACUUCUCUAUUUAGACUGUAAUUUCACUGUGGGCAGGGACUGUCUCUUUCUAUGUGUUUGUAUAUCACGUAGCACAAUGGGGCCACUAGUUGAUCAUCAUCCCCCCAAUGCCAAGCUGUGAAAAAAGAAGGGAGGCUAGGUGGUGCUACUUUACAUGCAUAUAUGUCACACAGGUUCAGUAUUUUGUGUAUUUUUAAAAUGAGUCCAGAGAAAUUGUUUUCUAACCACUCAAAUUAACGCACACCCCCUUCGAUACAAAACAGUGCUAUGCCCAACAAUUCUGCCAGCCAGCAAUAGGAGCAAAAUGUUUACCCCGCACUGGGCUGUGAUUGAAUUUGCUCAGAUUAGACCCAGGGCUGAGCAAACUUGAAAUGCCUUCAUUUGAGGGAAGUUCUCAUUUUUAUGGAGAUGUUCAGCUGGCUCUAUUUCUAAUUUAAGGUCCAAGCUUUCCAAUUUCCCCAUAAGCAUGUGGUCAAACACCAGCCUAAUUGCUAUUCUUUUUCCUCCUUGCAGAAUUGAAAAGUGAUCACGUCUGAUGAGAAUUCAUUAUAAAGUUGACAAUUUGAGAUUUGCCCCUUCCCUUUAGCAAGAUUCUGCAGAGCUUCAUUCCUUUCAGUCCACACUGACUCUUAUCCCAAGGCUUCCCUUGCUGCUUCUAUGAUGCCCCAAAAUAUCUGUGCUGGAGGGUUAAGACUAUUCCUCCUACAAACAAACAAAGGAAUGAGAAAAUUCUCUCUACGGUGGAACGAUAAAUGUAAAGAGCUUAUAUGUUAGCCAUUAGCAGAAAAACAUGAAUUCAUUUUACAGUACUAAAAGCAGAGGGGAAGAAAGAGAUUUAAAGGAGGGGAUCUGGGGAUCCAAAAACAAAUCAAAUAAACCAAAGAACGCCCCCGCCCAUAAGAAUGGGAAAAAUAUGUGUGUCUUUACAAAGAAGAUUAGUUUUCGGCGGUGUGAUAUUGAUAGAGUCUUGGUCCCUGUUCAGCCUGAUUAAAUAGCUAUGCACCUUCUUAAUCUCACAUUAAUCCCUGUAAUGAUUGUCGCACAGUUACAAUUCUUCUCACCUGGUCAGAGGCUACCCACCUGUGAUCCAUUUCCAAUGUAUCUUGCCUCUGUUUGCAAAUACAUUGUUAUGGGUUUACGGGUACAAUGGUGGGAAGAAAAAAAGGAGUCUCCCCCCACCCCCUUUAAAAAAACCCUGUCAUUGCCUUCCCUGAGCAGUUCACUAAACUAGAAAUUAAUUUCUCUCCAUGACACUUAUUUGCAAGCCAAAGCGCUUUUUUAAAUUUUUAAAUACCUGGUCUGGAAAGAGUUAAAGUCAUUAUCCCCUGGAUGUCCACAGAAGCAACAUAUCCCUGUUGUGUUCUGUCAGAACGGCUGGGGCAGUUUCAGCAAUGACUUCAUCGCACUGCAUUGCAACACUGCACAGUGCCCAACUGCUGGAGUUUGCUAAUUUGUGUGUUUUCACUCGGGGCCUGCUGAUUCAAUCAUUUUAAAGAUGCCCAUUUCUUCCAAACCAGGGAUUUUAUGACUCUAAGGAUUAGAAGCUGCUAUCCCAAUAAACCCUGGAGCUGUAUAUAUUCCGAUUUUAUGGUAAGCUUCACUAAUAAACUGUUUAAAACAUA